rnacentral:rRNA from 1 species
ACACUCCUGCGGGAGGCAGCAGUGGGGAAUAUUGGACAAUGGGCGCAAGCCUGAUCCAGCCAUGCCGCGUGAGUGAUGAAGGCCCUAGGGUUGUAAAGCUCUUUCACCGGUGAAGAUAAUGACGGUAACCGGAGAAGAAGCCCCGGCUAACUUCGUGCCAGCAGCCGCGGUAAUACGAAGGGGGCUAGCGUUGUUCGGAUUUACUGGGCGUAAAGCGCACGUAGGCGGACUAUUAAGUCAGGGGUGAAAUCCCGGGGCUCAACCCCGGAACUGCCUUUGAUACUGGUAGUCUUGAGUUCGAGAGAGGUGAGUGGAAUUCCGAGUGUAGAGGUGAAAUUCGUAGAUAUUCGGAGGAACACCAGUGGCGAAGGCGGCUCACUGGCUCGAUACUAACGCUGAGGUGCGAAAGCGUGGGGAGCAAACAGGAUUAGAAACCCGAGUAGUCCCAUGAU